UCCAGCUCCCACCCCUAACCUCCCACCUCCCGACCCUACCCUACACCAAAUACCAGGCACCACUCAGGAAACUUCUCUUUCCGUUCUCUAACUUCCCCAAGACCCUGUCAGGCAUGGAACUCUCUGUAUCCUCUGUGGACACCCACCUACCUGUGGCAGGGCCUAGGAACACACAGGACUCGGCUCUCUCAAGAGAUUCCAAGUGGACCGAGGACAGGAUCCAGAGUCACCAGAAGACAAACCCGAGUAUGCCUGAUUCUAGACUGGAUUCAGGAAGUGAGAAGACCCACCCUGAAUAUGGGCUGCAUCACAUCAUGGGCUCAGGUCCCAAGCUGAAUAAAGGAGGAAGAGAAAGUGA